rnacentral:rRNA from 1 species
GAUGAACGCUGGCGGCGUGCCUAAUACAUGCAAGUCGAGCGAACAGACGAGGAGCUUGCUCCUCUGACGUUAGCGGCGGACGGGUGAGUAACACGUGGAUAACCUACCUAUAAGACUGGGAUAACUUCGGGAAACCGGAGCUAAUACCGGAUAAUAUAUUGAACCGCAUGGUUCAAUAGUGAAAGACGGUUUUGCUGUCACUUAUAGAUGGAUCCGCGACGCAUUAGCUAGUUGGUAAGGUAACGGCUUACGAAGUCAACAAUCAGUAGCCGACCUGUGAGGGUGAUCGGCCACACUGGAACUGAGCCACGGUCCAGACUCCUAAGGGAGGCAGCAGUAGGGAAUCUUCCGCAAUGGGGGAAAGCCUGACGGAGCAACGCUGCGUGAGUGAUGAAGGUCUUCGGAUCGUAAAACUCUGUUAUUAGGGAAGAACAAAUGUGUAAGUAACUAUGCACGUCUUGACGGUACCUAAUCAGAAAGCCAAGGCUAACUACGUG